CAGAUAAUUUAAUAUGGAUCUCAACACUCAAAAUAUCAUGCUCAGCAAAUCCUCCUAUUUCCUAUGAAGUUUCCACCUAAUCCAUGAAUGGUCUUUGGACUAUUUUCCUACUAUCAACAUAAGUAAUACUUAAAGUUUGAGAGAAAUGUGAGACAACUUCUUUUGUUUCAUCUUGUCUUGGGACUUUUUACUGGAGGGCUCUAUUAUAUUUGGAUUCGAAUUCACUGCGAACGUAUACCAGAUCCUGGUGAACUUCCAGGAAGUUUAAUACUCUCUGGUGACUGUUGAAAACUAAAAAAAAGUCGUCUGGUGAGAUAUAUUUGAUAUAUUUGAUAUUUGAUACUUAGUCUCAAAUAUCUGUUCAGCUGGGUAUUGGGGGUAUGUUUAAUCCAUCCAUGUUCACGCAGCAAGAGCUUUAUCCUUUAAUCAAGGAUAGAAAUUUUACAUGCUGUAGCUAAGUUGCUAUGUAGAUUCGUGUGCAAACUGUUAGGCUUAUAAAGUUUAUGGUAAAUAUGGCCUCUUUUGUGUGUUUCCACAUACAAAAACACUAGUGUAUGGGUUAAUACUUGUAC